GGCGGCGUGCCUAACACAUGCAAGUCGUACGAGAAAGUUGGCUUCGGCCGAUGAGUAAAGUGGCGCACGGGUGAGUAAUGCGUGGAUAAUCUGCCCUUUAGUUGGGAAUAACGUACCGAAAGGUGCGCUAAUACCUGAUAAUACUGCAUAACUACUGUUGUGUAGUCAAAGAAGGCCUCUGUUUACAAGCUUUUGCUGAAGGAUGAGUCCGCGUACCAUUAGCUGGUUGGUGGGGUAAUGGCCUACCAAGGCUACGAUGGUUAGCUGGUCUGAGAGGAUGAUCAGCCACACUGGAACUGAGACACGGUCCAGACUCCUACGGGAGGCAGCAGUGAGGAAUAUUGCGCAAUGGGGGCAACCCUGACGCAGCAACGCCGCGUGAGUGAAGAAGGUUUUCGGACCGUAAAGCUCUGUCGAGCGGGAAGAAAUGUAUCAUGGCUAAUAUCCAUGAUACUUGACGGUACCGCUAAAGGAAGCACCGGCUAACUCCGUG
rnacentral:rRNA from 1 species